rnacentral:rRNA from 1 species
AUGAAUGGCACGGUCAGCGUCAAGAUUAAUGAUGAGGUUGGGCCUUGUAUACAAAGUGCCAAGGGGGUGAGGCAGGGCGAUCCUCAUUCCCCUUUCCUUUUUAAUCUGGCGGCUGAGUGCCUAACUAAGAUGAUGUUGACUGCACAAAAGAAUGGUCUUAUUAAAGGUUUGGCUGCUGAUCUUAUUGAGGAUGGGGUAGGCAUCCUACAAUACGCUGAUGACACGGUGCUUUGUUUUGAACAUGAUAUCGACAAAGCCAUCAAUGUCAAUCUCUUGCUCUAUCUUUUUGAACUCACGUCUGGUUUAAAAAUCAAUUUUGAGAAGAGUGAGGUUUUUGGUAUCGGAGGAGAUAACGAUAUAGAUUUAGUUUAUGCUGAUAUGUUUGGUUGCCAAGUGGGUACCCUACCUAUGAAAUACCUUGGAGUCCCAGUAACAUACUCCACUCUCAGGAAUGCGGAUCUAGAUUUCCUGGAUGGAAAAAUGAUUAAAAAGCUUGACGCCUGGGUGGCCUAUGCGGCCUCCUCCGGGGCCAGACUCACUUUAUUGGGUUCUAGUCUUGAUGGGAUUCCAUCCUAUCUCAUGUCGAUGUUCCUUUUCAAUAAAACCUUUAUUGAAAAGAUGGACAAACAUCGUAGACGAUUCUUUUGCAGGAGGAAGAAUAAGAAACACGGGUAUCAUAUGGUUAGAUGGACAAGAAUCUGUCGAUCUAAGAAAAUAGGGGGGUUGGGUAUUAAGGAUCUUCAUAAACAGAAUGUUGCUCUACUUGUUAAAUGGUGGUGGAAACUUGAAACCAGUGAUGGGUUGUGGCAACGUAUAGUCAGAGCUAGAUACUUUAAGAACAAGACUGUAGCAAAUAUACGAGGUCGUUUCUCCGACUCCCCUUGUUGGAAAGCUAUUAUGAAAGUCAAGGACUCAUAUAUGGCUGGUAGGAAAAUCACCAUCCAAAGUGGUAACCUAACUAGGAUCUGGCAUGAUCCUUGGGUAGAGAACAUUAUAUUGAAAGAUCGGUUCCCUGAUCUGUUCAGCAUUUGCCAUGAUCAGGAGAGUACUCUGGCAUCCUGGGUAGCGAGUAACUAUGAGCUAAAUUUCAGACGCAGAUUAUCAGGUGUGUUGGGCGAACAGUGGGCUUGGAUGGUUACAGAGGCUAAAAAACUUACGCUGAGUAAUUCCUCAGAUAAUAUCUCCUGGGCAUUUAGUAGUAAAGGGAAGUUUACGACUAAAUCGAUGUAUGAAGGGCUGGAAAGAAACCUGGCUGGCCCCAAUUAUAAGUGGGUUUAG